rnacentral:rRNA from 1 species
UACAGAGGGGGCAAGCGUUGUUCGGAAUUACUGGGCGUAAAGGGCGCGUAGGCGGCCUGCUAAGUCGAACGUGAAAUCCCCGGGCUCAACCCGGGAACUGCGUCCGAUACUGGCAGGCUUGAAUUCGGGAGAGGGAUGCGGAAUUCCAGGUGUAGCGGUGAAAUGCGUAGAUAUCGAGAGGAACACCUGCGGCGAAGGCGGGUAGCUGGGCCGACACUGACGCUGAGGCGCGAAAGCCAGGGGAGCGAACGGG